AUCCACUCACCUGUUGGGCCGACAAAAACAAAAAUUGAGACGUGAGAAAAGAAAAGAAGUCUGUCUGUCAGUCUAUCUCUCUUUCAUGAAAAACGAGUGUGUGAUUACGUCGUCAAGAGAGAAGCUCACGACUUGAUGACAUCCGCAUGAAAGCCAGAAAGAAAGAGGCAUAAGGUUUCUAAAGAUUUUGGAGAUCGAGUAAACUCCCUUACUCAUCAAGCCGGAUGACUCUAGCGAACCAGUCUGCCCGAACAAUUCUUCUGCAAGAAAGACCAGGGAAGGUCAAAGUAUUCCGGUAGAAAGUCAUACUCGGAUUGCUCACGCAACGUCAAAAACCGACCCCAGGAACAAUCAAAAGGGCCAAGGUUUUUUUUCUUUUUUAAUUUUUUUUUGGCUAGAGGAAUCGGAAAGGGAAAGGAAAAUUCCUAUUGUACUAUCCGUAUGGAAAUGACGAGACAUCCGCAAACGCCUCUACUGCGGUUUCCCUACCGUAAAAAUGGGGAAAAUAAAAAAACAGCCGUAGAGGAUGAAAAGAGAAACAGAAUAAUUGUAAAUCAUGUCCGCCUUUCUUUUCCCUUUUUCCCUUUUAUUUCUAUUUUUAUUUCAUGCAGCAAGUUAUCAACGACUUGCUAUGGGCCUAUCAUCCGAUGCUACGCGCGAUUAAAGCUCUACCGGCCUCUGUCAUUCAAUAAAAAGACGACAUAA